GCUGUACUCCCUCCGUCCAACAAAAGAUGUCUCAAGUUUGUCAAAAUUUGGAUGUAUCUAGACAUGACUUAGUGUAUAGAUGCAUUCAAAUUUAGUCAAAAUUGAGACAUCCUUUGUUGGACGGAGGAAGUACCAU
rnacentral:pre_miRNA from 1 species